GUGCUUGCUGUAGCAGCACAUAUACUAAAACUGGAACGAUCCAGAGAAGAUUAGCAUGGCCCUUGGGCAAGGAUGACGUGCAAAUUUGUGAAGACUUCCACAUUUUC
ensembl:snRNA U6 U6 spliceosomal RNA